rnacentral:rRNA from 1 species
ACAGGGUGAUACUCCCGUACACUAAAACACACAGGCUGUGAACUCGAAGAGUAGGGCGGGACACGUGGUAUCCUGUCUGAAUAUGGGGGGACCAUCCUCCAAGGCUAAAUACUCCUGACUGACCGAUAGUGAACCAGUACCGUGAGGGAAAGGCGAAAAGAACCCCGGCGAGGGGAGUGAAAAAGAACCUGAAACCGUGUACGUACAAGCAGUAGGAGCCCCACCACCAAAGCGUUUCGCUUUGCGUGGUGCGCAAAAUGCGUAACGACAGCAUGAUGGACGGUUAACGGAGCGUCAGCGACGUUCAACCUCAAAAAUCAGGCAGUGGAGCGUUUUGGGGUGGGGUGACUGCGUACCUUUUGUAUAAUGGGUCAGCGACUUAUAUUCUGUAGCAAGGUUAACCGUAUAGGGGAGCCGCAGGGAAACCGAGUCUUAACUGGGCGUUAAGUUGCAGGGUAUAGACCCGAAACCCGGUGAUCUAGCCAUGGGCAGGUUGAAGGUUGGGUAACACUAACUGGAGGACCGAACCGACUAAUGUUGAAAAAUUAGCGGAUGACUUGUGGCUGGGGGUGAAAGGCCAAUCAAACCGGGAGAUAGCUGGUUCUCCCCGAAAGCUAUUUAGGUAGCGCCUCGUGAACUCAUCUUCGGGGGUAGAGCACUGUUUCGGCUAGGGGGUCAUCCCGACUUACCAACCCGAUGCAAACUACGAAUACCGAAGAAUGUUAUCACGGGAGACACACGGCGGGUGCUAACGUCCGUCGUGAAGAGGGAAACAACCCAGACCGCCAGCUAAGGUCCCAAAGUCAUGGUUAAGUGGGAAACGAUGUGGGAAGGCCCAGACAGCCAGGAUGUUGGCUUAGAAGCAGCCAUCAUUUAAAGAAAGCGUAAUAGCUCACUGGUCGAGUCGGCCUGCGCGGAAGAUGUAACGGGGCUAAACCAUGCACCGAAGCUGCGGCAGCGACACUAUGUGUUGUUGGGUAGGGGAGCGUUCUGUAAGCCGUUGAAGGUGGCCUGUGAGGGUUGCUGGAGGUAUCAGAAGUGCGAAUGCUGACAUAAGUAACGAUAAUGCGGGUGAAAAACCCGCACGCCGGAAGACCAAGGGUUCCUGUCCAACGUUAAUCGGGGCAGGGUGAGUCGACCCCUAAGGCGAGGCCGAAAGGCGUAGUCGAUGGGAAACAGGUUAAUAUUCCUGUACUUGGUGUUACUGCGAAGGGGGGACGGAGAAGGCUAUGUUGGCCGGGCGACGGUUGUCCCGGUUUAAGCAUGUAGGCGGAUG